GACGAACGCUGGCGGCGUGCUUAACACAUGCAAGUCGAACGGAAAGGCCCUGCUUUUGUGGGGUGCUCGAGUGGCGAACGGGUGAGUAACACGUUAGUAACCUUCCCUUGACUUUGGGAUAACUUCAGGAAACUGGGGCUAAUACCGGAUAGGAGCUCCUGCUUCAUGGUGGGGGUUGGAAAGUUUCGGCGGUUGGGGAUGGACUCGCGGCUUAUCAGCUUGUUGGUGGGGUAGUGGCUUACCAAGGCUUUGACGGGUAGCCGGCCUGAGAGGGUGACCGGGCACAUUGGGAAUGAGAUACGGCCCAGACUCCUACGGGAGGCAGCAGUGGGGAAUAUUGCACAAUGGGCGGAAGCCUGAUGCAGCAACGCCGCGUGAGGGAUGACGACCUGCGGGUUGUAAACCGCUUUCGCCUGUGACGAAGCGUGAGUGACGGUAAUGGGUAAAGAAGCACCGGCUAACUACGUG
rnacentral:rRNA from 1 species